rnacentral:rRNA from 1 species
CCUACGGGUGGCAGCAGUGGGGAAUAUUGCGCAAUGGGCGAAAGCCUGACGCAGCGACGCCGCGUGAGGGAUGAAGGUCUUCGGAUCGUACACCUCUGUCAGCAGGGAAGAAAGGUCACUGUGCUAAUCCGCUGUGUAUUGACGGUACCUGCAAAGGAAGCACCGGCUAACUCCGUGCCAGCAGCCGCGGUAAUACGGAGGGUGCGAGCGUUAAUCGGAAUUACUGGGCGUAAAGCGCUCGUAGGCGGUAUGGCAAGUCAAGGGUGAAAUCCCCGCGCUCAACGUGGGAACGGCCUUUGAUACUGGCAAACUGGAGUGUGUGAGAGGAGAGUGGAAUUCCAGGUGUAGUAGUGAAAUCCGUAGAUAUCUGGAGGAACAUCAGUGGCGAAGGCGACUAUCUGGCACAUAACUGACGCUGAGGAGCGAAAGCGUGGGUAGCAAACAGGAUUAGAUACCCCUGUAGUC